AUUUACUUGUCGGACUCUACUUUAUGGUCGAGUGUUAGUUACAAGUGCUUUGUAUUGUUAUUGUGUAAUUAUAGUUUAUCAACAAUAUCUGUUGUAAUAUCUGUCUGUUUUGGUUGUGUUGUUGCUUAUAUUGUGAUUGUUUAACUGUGGAUCAACAGAUUUUAAAUUAUUCUCUUUCUCUGACAUAAUUUUGUAAUCUCACAAAACCAGCACAUUAAGUAGAGUCAAUUUCAAAAUAACAGAACAAAUUCAAUCACUCGGAUAUUGGCAAAUCCUAGAGGAAGCUAGAAUUUAAAAGAAGAAGAA